rnacentral:lncRNA from 1 species
UUAAUUUUAAUUUAUAAUUUGAAUAUUAAAUUUAAAUUUAAGUUUAAUAUUCGAAUUCAAAAUCAAAAAUAGAUUUUAAGAAGUAUGUUUUAAUUGUUUGUAGUGUUUCGGAGGUUUGGAUAGGAUUGGCUAUAGUAUUAGUGACUGGUCGACACAUCUGAUGAGUGUCGGACUGAGUCGAAGUCGUUUCUGCACGAAAUGGAUGCAGAAAUGGACUUG